rnacentral:rRNA from 1 species
UACGGGGGGAGCAAGCGUUGUUCGGAUUUACUGGGCGUAAAGGGCGCGUAGGCGGUCGUGACAAGUCACUUGUGAAAUCUCCGGGCUUAACUCGGAAAGGUCAAGUGAUACUGUCGGACUAGAGUACAGAAGGGGCAACUGGAAUUCUCGGUGUAGCGGUGAAAUGCGUAGAUAUUGGGAAGAACACCGGUGGCGAAAGCGCCUUGCUGGGUCUGCACUGACACUGAGGGACGAAAGCUAGGGGAGCGAAAGGG